GUACUGUGUCUGGAUUUGAAUCUGACAUACUGUGUUCUGGAUGCUGUGUCUGGAGUACUGUGUCUGGAGUACUGAGAAUGGAGUACUGAGUCUGAAGUGCUGUGUCUGGCUGUACUGAAUCUGAUGUACUGAGUGUGAAAUACCGUGCCUGGUGUACCGUGCAUCUGAAGUGCAGUGUCUGGCUGCACUGAAUCUGACGUAGUGAGUCUGAAGUGCUUUGUCUGGAGUAAUGAAUCUGAAUUACUGUGUCUGGAGUUCUGAGUCUUUAGUACAGUGUUUGUAGUACUGAGUCGGGAGUACUGCUUCUAGAGUACCUUGUCAGAAGUACUGUGUCUGUAGUAUUGAGUCUGAAGCAUUGUGUUUUUAGUACCAAAUCUAGAUUACUGUGUCUGUAGUACUGAAUCUGGAGUACUGAGUCUGACCUUCUUGGAGGAUAAUUAUGUGCAGUGAAAUGGACUCGAUUGAGUUGAUUUGGUUAAAUCGGACAGCGAGACGUAAAAAGUGCCACCCCCCCCCCCCCCCCCCCAUUUGUCUUCACUCUCUAUUUUUUCUUCACAGCUCCUGCUUUGUUUUAUCUGCUCAUCGAUCAUGUCUCCACCACUUCUACUCCAAUCCAUCAACCUCUCCUCCAUCUCUCUCUCUCCAUCUCUCUCUCUCUCUCUCUUCAGCUUUCUUUUUCAUAUCCCUCUCUUUUUUGUGCCUCACUCUAUUGUUUCUCUCUCUCUCUCUCUCUCUCUCUCUCUCUCUCUCUCCCCCCUUGCUGCCUUGUAUCCAUCUUUCUGAUCCCUCUGUCUGCAGGACCGUUCUGUAUAUCAGCAGAGAUUUCACACUCGUGAUCCUCUGCGCAGGCUGCCUGAUCAUUCACGCUGGGAAACACACACACACACACACACACACACACACACACACACACACACACAGCCAUCCCU
ensembl:lncRNA